ACAGAGGGCCCUUUGAGUGUGACCAAGGAGCAGAGCUGAGACUGAAGGACCACAGGCGCUGAGGCUGAGCACGAGGGAGGAACACUGAGCCAGGGGACUCAGGUCCACAAGCUCAUAAACAUGCCCAAGAUAUUUUCCAAUCAUCUCCGGUAAAGUGUUUGAGUAAACAAGCAAACUGGAUAAGGUGGCACAAGGAGGCCAUUCAUGGACUUUUUUUUUCCUGUGAGAGCAGCUGGCGAUGCCGGACCUGCUGUCACGAUG